rnacentral:rRNA from 1 species
GGAUUGCGCGCUACCUGCAGUCGAGCGGAACGAGUUGUCUGAACCUUCGGGGAACGAUAACGGCGUCGAGCGGCGGACGGGUGAGUAAUGCCUAGGAAAUUGCCCUGAUGUGGGGGAUAACCAUUGGAAACGAUGGCUAAUACCGCAUGAUGCCUACGGGCCAAAGAGGGGGACCUUCGGGCCUCUCGCGUCAGGAUAUGCCUAGGUGGGAUUAGCUAGUUGGUGAGGUAAGGGCUCACCAAGGCGACGAUCCCUAGCUGGUCUGAGAGGAUGAUCAGCCACACUGGAACUGAGACACGGUCCAGACUCCUACGGGAGGCAGCAGUGGGGAAUAUUGCACAAUGGGCGCAAGCCUGAUGCAGCCAUGCCGCGUGUGUGAAGAAGGCCUUCGGGUUGUAAAGCACUUUCAGUCGUGAGGAAGGUAGUGUAGUUAAUAGCUGCAUUAUUUGACGUUAGCGACAGAAGAAGCACCGGCUAACUCCGUGCCAGCAGCCGCGGUAAUACGGAGGGUGCGAGCGUUAAUCGGAAUUACUGGGCGUAAAGCGCAUGCAGGUGGUUUGUUAAGUCAGAUGUGAAAGCCCGGGGCUCAACCUCGGAAUUGCAUUUGAAACUGGCAGACUAGAGUACUGUAGAGGGGGGUAGAAUUUCAGGUGUAGCGGUGAAAUGCGUAGAGAUCUGAAGGAAUACCGGUGGCGAAGGCGGCCCCCUGGACAGAUACUGACACUCAGAUGCGAAAGCGUGGGGAGCAAACAGGAUUAGAUACCCUGGUAGUCCACGCCGUAAACGAUGUCUACUUGGAGGUUGUGGCCUUGAGCCGUGGCUUUCGGAGCUAACGCGUUAAGUAGACCGCCUGGGGAGUACGGUCGCAAGAUUAAAACUCAAAUGAAUUGACGGGGGCC